CAGCCCCGUACACAAAAAUGCACAUAUUGUGAGCUCGAUGAGUAGGGCGGGACACGUGGUAUCCUGUCUGAAUAUGGGGGGCCCAUCCUCCAAGGCUAAAUACUCCUGACUGACCGAUAGUGAACCAGUACCGUGAGGGAAAGGCGAAAAGAACCCCGGCGAGGGGAGUGAAAAAGAACCUGAAACCGUGUACGUACAAGCAGUGGGAGCACGCUUAGGCGUGUGACUGCGUACCUUUUGUAUAAUGGGUCAGCGACUUAUAUUCUGUAGCAAGGUUAACCGAAUAGGGGAGCCGAAGGGAAACCGAGUCUUAACUGGGCGUUAAGUUGCAGGGUAUAGACCCGAAACCCGGUGAUCUAGCCAUGGGCAGGUUGAAGGUUGGGUAACACUAACUGGAGGACCGAACCGACUAAUGUUGAAAAAUUAGCGGAUGACUUGUGGCUGGGGGUGAAAGGCCAAUCAAACCGGGAGAUAGCUGGUUCUCCCCGAAAGCUAUUUAGGUAGCGCCUCGUGAAUUCAUCUCCGGGGGUAGAGCACUGUUUCGGCAAGGGGGUCAUCCCGACUUACCAACCCGAUGCAAACUGCGAAUACCGGAGAAUGUUAUCACGGGAGACACACGGCGGGUGCUAACGUCCGUCGUGAAGAGGGAAACAACCCAGACCGCCAGCUAAGGUCCCAAAGUCAUGGUUAAGUGGGAAACGAUGUGGGAAGGCCCAGACAGCCAGGAUGUUGGCUUAGAAGCAGCCAUCAUUUAAAGAAAGCGUAAUAGCUCACUGGUCGAGUCGGCCUGCGCGGAAGAUGUAACGGGGCUAAACCAUGCACCGAAGCUGCGGCAGCGACGCUUAUGCGUUGUUGGGUAGGGGAGCGUUCUGUAAGCCUGCGAAGGUGUGCUGUGAGGCAUGCUGGAGGUAUCAGAAGUGCGAAUGCUGACAUAAGUAACGAUAAAGCGGGUGAAAAGCCCGCUCGCCGGAAGACCAAGGGUUCCUGUCCAACGUUAAUCGGGGCAGGGUGAGUCGACCCCUAAGGCGAGGCCGAAAGGCGUAGUCGAUGGGAAACAGGUUAAUAUUCCUGUACUUGGUGUUACUGCGAAGGGGGGACGGAGAAGGCUAUGUUGGCCGGGCGACGGUUGUCCCGGUUUAAGCGUGUAGGCUGGUUUUCCAGGCAAAUCCGGAAAAUCAAGGCUGAGGCGUGAUGACGAGGCACUACGGUGCUGAAGCAACAAAUGCCCUGCUUCCAGGAAAAGCCUCUAAGCAUCAGGUAACAUCAAAUCGUACCCCAAACCGACACAGGUGGUCAGGUAGAGAAUACCAAGGCGCUUGAGAGAACUCGGGUGAAGGAACUAGGCAAAAUGGUGCCGUAACUUCGGGAGAAGGCACGCUGAUAUGUAGGUGAAGUCCCUUGCGGAUGGAGCUGAAAUCAGUCGAAGAUACCAGCUGGCUGCAACUGUUUAUUAAAAACACAGCACUGUGCAAACACGAAAGUGGACGUAUACGGUGUGACGCCUGCCCGGUGCCGGAAGGUUAAUUGAUGGGGUCAGCGCAAGCGAAGCUCUUGAUCGAAGCCCCGGUAAACGGCGGCCGUAACUAUAACGGUCCUAAGGUAGCGAAAUUCCUUGUCGGGUAAGUUCCGACCUGCACGAAUGGCGUAAUGAUGGCCAGGCUGUCUCCACCCGAGACUCAGUGAAAUUGAACUCGCUGUGAAGAUGCAGUGUACCCGCGGCAAGACGGAAAGACCCCGUGAACCUUUACUAUAGCUUGACACUGAACAUUGAGCCUUGAUGUGUAGGAUAGGUGGGAGGCUUUGAAGUGUGGACGCCAGUCUGCAUGGAGCCGGCCUUGAAAUACCACCCUUUAAUGUUUGAUGUUCUAACGUGGACCCGUGAUCCGGGUUGCGGACAGUGUCUGGUGGGUAGUUUGACUGGGGCGGUCUCCUCCUAAAGAGUAACGGAGGAGCACGAAGGUUGGCUAAUCCUGGUCGGACAUCAGGAGGUUAGUGCAAUGGCAUAAGCCAGCUUGACUGCGAGCGUGACGGCGCGAGCAGGUGCGAAAGCAGGUCAUAGUGAUCCGGUGGUUCUGAAUGGAAGGGCCAUCGCUCAACGGAUAAAAGGUACUCCGGGGAUAACAGGCUGAUACCGCCCAAGAGUUCAUAUCGACGGCGGUGUUUGGCACCUCGAUGUCGGCUCAUCACAUCCUGGGGCUGAAGUAGGUCCCAAGGGUAUGGCUGUUCGCCAUUUAAAGUGGUACGCGAGCUGGGUUUAGAACGUCGUGAGACAGUUCGGUCCCUAUCUGCCGUGGGCGCUGGAGAACUGAGGGGGGCUGCUCCUAGUACGAGAGGACCGGAGUGGACGCAUCACUGGUGUUCGGGUUGUCAUGCCAAUGGCACUGCCCGGUAGCUAAAUGCGGAAGAGAUAAGUGCUGAAAGCAUCUAAGCACGAAACUUGCCCCGAGAUGAGUUCUCCCUGACCCUUUAAGGGUCCUGAAGGAACGUUGAAGACGACGACGUUGAUAGGCCGGGUGUGUAAGCGCAGCGAUGCGUUGAGCUAACCGGUACUAAUGAACCGUGAGG
rnacentral:rRNA from 1 species